AGAGUUUGAUCAUGGCUCAGAUUGAACGCUGGCGGCAUGCCUUACACAUGCAAGUCGAGCGGCAGCGCGGGGGUAACCCUGGCGGCGAGCGGCGAACGGGUGAGUAAUACAUCGGAACGUGUCCAGUAGCGGGGGAUAACCUGUCGAAAGAUAGGCUAAUACCGCAUACGACCUACGGGUGAAAGCGGGGGACCGCAAGGCCUCGCACUAUUGGAGCGGCCGAUGUCGGAUUAGCUAGUUGGCGGGGUAAAAGCCCACCAAGGCGACGAUCCGUAGCUGGUCUGAGAGGACGAUCAGCCACACUGGAACUGAGACACGGUCCAGACUCCUACGGGAGGCAGCAGUGGGGAAUUUUGGACAAUGGGCGCAAGCCUGAUCCAGCCAUGCCGCGUGAGUGAAGAAGGCCUUCGGGUUGUAAAGCUCUUUCGGCGGGGACGAAACGGUUCAUGCCAACACCAUGGACUAAUGACGGUACUCGCAGAAG
rnacentral:rRNA from 1 species